rnacentral:lncRNA from 1 species
AGAAGGGGAGGAAACUGGAAUCCAGCAGCGGCGAGCAGCAGCUGGGCGGUCACAUCUGGAAAUGGAAAGCCGACCUCCCCCUCCUCCUCCACCUCCUCCUCCUCCUCCUCCUUCUCCUCCUCUCACCCAGGAUCACUUCCGAAACCAGUUGGCCUUCAGCCCCUGCCUCGGCCAGAGGUUUCAUUUUUAACUGAAUAUUUACGAAAGCUGAAAGCGUGCGAGGGGGGUGGGGUGGAAAUAGCGGCUGCUUCUUUUCCAAGGAUUUAUUUAAUGGGGAUGUGUUCAAGGCAAGACCGAAUUCAGAAGGAUAUCGACGUCGUGAUCCAGAAGUCCAGAGCUGAGGACUGCCUGUUUGCAGCUGAAUGACCUGUCCUGGGCCAGUGAACCUGGACUUCAACCAGAUGUCAGAAUCUCAAGGUACAACCAACAUUUUCGCUCCAUGUUGGGUCAAAACAGUUAACACAGCCAAGAUAUUCAAGGUUUCAGUAGAUACUGACUAAGUCCUGGCCAGCUGUGAAAAGAAAGAGGCUGGAGUGCAAUGGCAUGAUCUCAGCUCACUGCAACCUCUGCCUCCGGGUUCAAGUGAAUCUUCUGCCUCAACCUCCUGAGUGGCUGGGAUUACAAGUGUAGGCCACCAUGCCCGGCUAAUUUUCUAUAUUUUCAGUAGAGAUGGACUUUCACCAUGUUAGCCAGGCUGGUUUCAAACUCUUGACCUCAGGUGAUCCACCCACCUCAGCCUCCCAAAGUGCUGGGAUUACAGAAUAUAAAGUGCUAACAUGAGAUAUAACACAAUACCAUGACUCCAGUGUUGCCCGAAUGUUAUGAGAAGUUAUUUUUGAACUUAAGAUCGGCCCUUUCUUCAAAUAAGAGCAGUUGGAACAACAAAAGCUGUUCAGUUGUACCCUUGGAAUCCACGGAAAUCCUGGGUAGGGAAGCUCCAGUACCACCAACUGGAAAGACUGGGAAUGCCUAGUAGCUGGUACUGGCCAUUGUCGUAGGCUUUGUCCACUUUGACAAACUGAAGACGGGGACUCGACUCACCUUCGCCAGCCACAGGAGGACCUCCAGACGAGGACCGGACUCGCCGCCUUUCUUUCCCGUCAGAAAGGGAUCCCUUGCGGACAAGACCGAAUGGCCCCUAAGGCUUCUCUGCAGGUCCAACCGAAACAGGCCUGAAGUUCCAGGAUGGGCGAGAGGAUCCUCUUUGAGCGAAACCAGCCUUCUGCCUGGCUGGCCCUGGUCAACACACUCGGAAGAGGCCGAUUUGGAGGACAGAACGGAAGAAAAGACCUAAAGAUGAUCCUCAUCCAAUCACUUAAAGGCCUGAAUAGAACCAAAAGUCUGACCUGCCCAUGAGUAAGAGAGAGCUCCUUCUGCCUGAUUGCUUCAGCUGAGAUAUCAGCCUUUUCCUGCCUUUGGAAUUGAACUGCAACACUGGCUCUUCCUGGGCCUCAAGCCUGCCAGCUUUUGAACUGUAAUCACACCAUCAUCUCUCCUGGUUCUCAGGCCUUUGGACUCAAAUCAGAAACACACCAUGGGCUCUCCUGUGUCUCAAGCUUGCCAACUGUGAUCUUGAGACUUCUCAGCCUCCAUAAUCACAUGAGUCAAUUGUUGGUUCUGUUUCUCUGGAGAACCCUAAUCCAUCACUUUACAUAUUUCUUCCAUUACACAUAUUGUUUCCCAGCAUAUUAAAUAAUUUACUGAUUAUA